GGGACCGUAACGGUUUCGACGUGUCAGGGUAAGCCUCCCUAUGAUACAGGUCGAGAGGGAGUUCACUCUCGUAAAUCAAAGCUCAAAAAAAGUAAAUGCGAACAACAUCGUACCCUUCGCUCGUAAAGCAGCUACUGUUGCUGCCUAAGAACCAGUAAAUUCGGUUUCGAGGUCUAGUGUCUGACUCCGUUAAGGAUUCUAGAUAAACCCCCAACGGAUGCUAUCGAAAAUGUCCUCCGAUGCUUUUUCGAUCUAAGAAACCCAUCAGAGCAUCCUGUCCCUUGGGAUAAUAAGGGAAUCCCGCUGCGAGGGUUAGAGCGGCUAAACCUGUGAACGAUUAGGGCGUUAGAAUCUGGUACGGACGGCAGUUCGACUCUGCCCGGUUCCAUUG
rnacentral:tmRNA from 1 species